GAGCAGGCCAUGCGCGCCCGCGUCUCAGACUUCAAGAAGCAGGCCGAGUGAGCACACUCUCCCCUUCCUCCAACUUGAACUUCUGGGGCUGAUAUGGCCGCCCUGCCCCUCGUAUAGGGUUUGCGCGCUUAAAGUUCAGGUCUGUGGCUGCAGCUGCUGCAGAGGUCUGGAAUUGGGGCGCUUCUCGGGGUCUUGGUUGGUCUGCCGCUGCAUGCUGCGGAGGGUCGUGCACUGCGGCCUGCGGGAGGGUUUUGGGCGGGCGGGCUCGGGGGUAGGGUUUCUACUUCUGCUUUUCUGGUAGGAGAUGAAGGCAAGUAGAGAUGCCUGAACCAUGGUCUUCAGAACGCGUGGUGCACAUCUCAGCUCAGCCACAGUCGGUAGCUCUUAGGGUUUUAAAGGUUAGGAGGGAAAUGAAGUUCGGGAUGACAACUAUCAAGAGCCAACUGAAUCUGUAAAGCAACACUUAGACGGCGGAGAUCUCUUCUCAUGAUCUGAUGGCAGUCAGAUGGUGGUUCAGUUUUUCUGUGGCGCGAAGCGGUUUUCCGUUUUUCUUGUUAUUCUUCCAAUUCAUUGUCUCCUGUAUUUUUUCGUUUCAGCGGUUUAAUUUGCUCACUGCCCCUUUUAAGCUGUUCUUAUGUAUAAGACAUUGCCUGUUGUAAUCCCAGAUAUGCCGUCAUUGAGAAAUUACCCCGUUUUCCAAUAUAAAAUGAGUUCAGAUUUC
rnacentral:lncRNA from 1 species